GAAAUGCGAUAAGUAGUGUGAAUUGCAGAAUUCAGUGAAUCAUCGAAUCUUUGAACGCACAUUGCGCCCUUUGGUAUUCCAAAGAGCAUGCCUGUUCGAGCGUCAUUUGUACCCUCAAGCUUUGCUUGGUGUUGGGCGUCUUGUCUCUAGCUUUGCUGGAGACUCGCCUUAAAGUAAUUGGCAGCCGGCCUACUGGUUUCGGAGCGCAGCACAAGUCGCACUCUCUAUCAGCAAAGGUCUAGCAUCCAUUAAGCCUUUUUUUCAACUUUUGACCUCGGAUCAGGUAGGGAUACCCGCUGAACUUAAGC
rnacentral:misc_RNA from 1 species